AUCACUAUUCGCUAUUAUGUAUUCACAGACUAUAGUUUACUCCUAGCCCUAGCCCUAGCCCUAGCCCAAAUCGCAAACCCCAAACCCCAAAUCCCAAAUCCUCUAGUCUUGUCUCUCUCGACUCUCCGGCCUCCGCCUCUCCCCUUCUCAAUCUCCGGCCUCCACCAUCUGUCUGUCUCGCCGUUUCGCAGCUCCGCAUUUCCCCGUCUCAAUCUCCGACUCUCUUACGACUGUCUAUCUAAAUUGGUAAUUUGUGUGAUAAUCAAAUUGGUGUAUUUGUCCAUUUUUUUUAGUUUGAAUCUAGUAUACUGGUAUGAUUUCGUAAUUUUUAUGUUAAAAGUUUCCAUCUUUGAGGAUAAACCGGGUAACAGAUCAAUUGGCUUCGAUUUUCGAAUGACUGUUUUAGACUUUUAGGGAUUCCAUCCGUUUCAUUGAAUUUUCCCCUUCUCUCUGGAUGUAUGGGUAGUGAUGGACCUCAUGGAUUUUGCAGUUUAUUGAUACAGUUUCAUAAAGCUAUUACCAGUAUAUGGACCUCAUGAAUUUUGCAGUUUAGAUUAUGAUUAUUAGUUCAGAUCUUCUUGUGUUCAACACUGAGCUAAAUUAGCUGAUGUUGUAAACCCUAAACUUGAACUUGUUGAAGUUUGUAUUUUUGUGUUAACUAGGCCUGGCCUGGCCAUUGCAUGUAAAUCUUGCUAUUAAAUUACUAAUUCAUUAGUGUCUGUAUUGUGUUGUUUUUAGGGCAUUCCAAUUAUUUAAUUUUAAAUUUAUAAAUAAUAGUGGACCAUAAAAAGAAAACUAAAACAUGAUGAUGAAGGCUCAAGUUUGACAAGCUAUUGAAAGUGAAGGCUCAAGUUUCACAAGUUAAAAGUGUAAUGGAGGAAAACAUAGGCAAUGUACCUUAAAUAUCUUGUAAAAGUUGCUUUAUGUGUUUUUGUUUUCUUUCAUGUUGAUAGUGUUACAUUCUGUGUUUGCAAUGUCUUCUAAUUUUGGAAAUUAUUUUCUUCUGAGUGGACAAUGUUCUGAUUGCACUGAUCUUGUCUCAACCCCAUUUAUUACAUAAAUUUUGGAAAGACAUUUUGUUGUUUCUAUUCUUUUUGAGUAGUUGAUAGGUAAUAGCUAAGCCAGUUGUUUAUUGAGUGAAGGUGAAAACCCCUCAUUUUCCAUUGUUUGUGCUUUGUGCAGGCAUUUAUGCAGUUACUGCCUACUGGGAUAUCUCUUGCUUGCUUGUGUUGCAUGUUGUUGUUGCUUGUUGCUCGUUGAUGUUGUUGUUGAUGUUGUUGCACAACUUGCACUGCUGGCCGCUGGGUGCUAGCUCUGCUAGCUGCUGAAAAGCCUACAAUUUGCUACUAGUUGUUGUUGCAUGUUGUUAGAUUAUAAUUACUUUGUUAAUCAUAAACUUUGUUAAAGACAUUCUGCACUGCUGCUGUAUUUUUAAUUUUAAACAAUUAAACAACUGUUGUAUUGUUAAUUUUAAAAAGAGCAUUGAUUCGGUUAUUACCCGAAUAUCCGAAUUGUACAAUUCGGUAAUUCGGUUAGUUCUAAAUUUCGGUUAGUG
rnacentral:lncRNA from 1 species